rnacentral:misc_RNA from 1 species
CCGAACUGUCGACACGAGUUGUUGCUGGUCCUCAAAUCGGGGGCAUGUGCACGCUCUGUUUACACAUCCACUCACACCUGUGCACCCUCUGUAGUUCUAUGGCGUGGGGGAUCUUGUCUUCCUGCUGUGGUUCUGCAUCUUUACAACACACAAUGUGAUAGAGUCUCAUGGAAUGUACAUCGCGUUUAACGCAAUACAAUA